rnacentral:rRNA from 1 species
GACGAACGCUGGCGGCGUGCCUAAUACAUGCAAGUAGAACGCAGUUGCGAACGGGUGAGUAACGCGUAGGUAACUGCCUGGUAGCGGGGGAUAACUAUUGGAAACGAUAGCUAAAACGCAUACUACCAGAUGGGACUGCGUUGUAUUUGCCAGUUGGGGGGGGAAAGGCUCACCAAGGCAACGAGACAAAGGCGACCCGGGAGGGUGAUCGGCCAAACCGGGACUUAGAAACGGCCCAGACUCCUACGGGAGGCAGCAGUAGGGAAUCUUCGGCAAUUGGGGGAACCCUGACCGAGCAACGCCGCGUGAGUGAAGAAGGUUUUCGGAUCGUAAAGCUCUGUUGUUAAGGAAGCGGUACUUAACCAGAAAGGGACGGCUAACUACGUGCCAGCAGCCGCGGUAAUUC